UGCGUAGGCGGAUUAAUAAGUCAGUGGUGAAAACCUGCAGCUUAACUGUAGAACUGCCAUUGAUACUGUUAGUCUUGAGUACGGUCAAGGUAGGCGGAAUGUGUAAUGUAGCGGUGAAAUGCUUAGAUAUUACACAGAACACCGAUUGCGAAGGCAACUUACUGGACCAUUACUGACGCUGAGGCACGAAAGCGUGGGGAGCGAACAGGAUUAGAUACCCUGGUAGUCC
rnacentral:rRNA from 1 species